rnacentral:rRNA from 1 species
GACCAGACUCCUACGGGAGGCAGCAGUGGGGAAUAUUGGGCAAUGGGCGCAAGCCUGACCCAGCGACGCCGCGUGAGGGAAGACGGUCUUCGGAUUGUAAACCUCUUUCAGCAGGGAAGACAAAAGGACGGUACCUGCAGAAGAAGCCACGGCUAACUACGUGCCAGCAGCCGCGGUAAUACGUAGGUGGCAAGCGUUAUCCGGAAUUACUGGGUGUAAAGGGUGUGUAGGUGGCAUGGCAAGUCAGAAGUGAAAGCCCGGGGCUCAACCCCGCGGACUGCUUUUGAAACUGUCAGGCUGGAGUACAGGAGAGGUAAGCGGAAUUCCUAGUGUAGCGGUGAAAUGCGUAGAUAUUAGGAGGAACACCAGUGGCGAAGGCGGCUUACUGGACUGUAACUGACACUGAGGCACGAAAGCGUGGGGAGCAAACAGGAUUAGAUACCCGGGUA